rnacentral:rRNA from 1 species
GACGAACCGAGCGAACGUUGUUCGGAAUCACUGGGCUUAAAGGGCGCGUAGGCGGGUGCUCAAGUCCGUGGUGAAAUCCUCCGGCUCAACCGGAGAACUGCCUCGGAUACUGGGUGCCUCGAGGGUGGUAGGGGUAUGCGGAACUAUCGGUGGAGCGGUGAAAUGCGUAGAUAUCUGGAGGAACACCGGUGGCGAAGGCGGCAUCCUGGACCGACACUGACGCUGAGGAGCGAAAGCCAGGGGAGCAAACGGG